UGCAGUCGAACGAUGAAGCCUAGCUUGCUGGGUGGAUUAGUGGCGAACGGGUGAGUAACACGUGAGCAACCUGCCCCUGACUCUGGGAUAAGCGCUGGAAACGGCGUCUAAUACUGGAUAUGUCCCAUCACCGCAUGGUGUGUGGGUGGAAAGAUUUUUCGGUUGGGGAUGGGCUCGCGGCCUAUCAGCUUGUUGGUGAGGUAAUGGCUCACCAAGGCGUCGACGGGUAGCCGGCCUGAGAGGGUGACCGGCCACACUGGGACUGAGACACGGCCCAGACUCCUACGGGAGGCAGCAGUGGGGAAUAUUGCACAAUGGGCGGAAGCCUGAUGCAGCAACGCCGCGUGAGGGAUGACGGCCUUCGGGUUGUAAACCUCUUUUAGCAGGGAAGAAGCGAGAGUGACGGUACCUGCAGAAAAAGCACCGGCUAACUACGUGCCAGCAGCCGCGGUAAUACGUAGGGUGCAAGCGUUAUCCGGAAUUAUUGGGCGUAAAGAGCUCGUAGGCGGUCUGUCGCGUCUGCUGUGAAAUUCCGAGGCUCAACCUCGGGCUUGCAGUGGGUACGGGCAGACUAGAGUGCGGUAGGGGAGAUUGGAAUUCCUGGUGUAGCGGUGGAAUGCGCAGAUAUCAGGAGGAACACCGAUGGCGAAGGCAGAUCUCUGGGCCGUAACUGACGCUGAGGAGCGAAAGGGUGGGGAGCAAACAGGCUUAGAUACCCUGGUAGUCCACCCCGUANACGUUGGGAACUAGUUGUGGGGUCCUUUCCACGGAUUCCGUGACGCAGCUUACGCAUUAAGUUCCCCGCCUGGGGAGUACGGCCGCAAGGCUAAAACUCANAGGAAUUGACGGGGACCCGCACAAGCGGCGGAGCAUGCGGAUUAAUUCGAUGCAACGCGAAGAAACUUACCAAGGCUUGACAUACACGAGAACGGGCCAGAAAUGGUCAACUCUUUGGACACUCGUGA
rnacentral:rRNA from 1 species